UACGUAGGGUGCAAGCGUUGUCCGGAAUUAUUGGGCGUAAAGAGCUCGUAGGCGGUCUGUCGCGUCUGCUGUGAAAACUCAGGGCUUAACCCUGAGCUUGCAGUGGGUACGGGCAGACUAGAGUGCGGUAGGGGAGACUGGAAUUCCUGGUGUAGCGGUGAAAUGCGCAGAUAUCAGGAGGAACACCGGUGGCGAAGGCGGAUCUCUGGGCCUUACCUGACGCUGGAGGCGCGAAAGCUAGGGGAGCGAACAGG
rnacentral:rRNA from 1 species